rnacentral:rRNA from 1 species
GAUUAAGAGAAUUAAGGGCACACGGUGGAUGCCUAGGUAAUAAGAGCCGAUGAAGGACGUGGUAAGCUGCGAUAAGCCUGGAGUAGUUGCAAUCGAACUUUGAUCCCAGGAUUUCCCAAUGGAGAAAUCUACUAAGAUGAAGUCUUAGUGUGAAAACGGUAACCAGAUGAACUGAAACAUCUAAGUAGUCUGAGGAAAAGAAAGUAAAAACGAUUCCCUAAGUAGCGGCGAGCGAACGGGGACCAAGUCUAAAUCGCGUAAGUGUCAAGAAUGCAGUCGUUGCUUGCGCGAGGUUGUGGGAAGCUUUUUGAAGAACUGCAAGAUAUUCAACGAGUUGUUUUAAAGAAUUAGAAUAAGUUGGAAAACUUAACCAUAGAAGGUGAUAGUCCUGUAUAGGUAAUUUGUAACAAUCGUAAAGCUCUCCCAAGUAGCACGGAACACGAGGAAUUCUGUGUGAAUCAGCGAGGACCAUAUCUCGUAAGACUAAAUACUCUUGUUAACCGAUAGCGUAUAGUACCGUGAGGGAAAGGUGAAAAGAACCCCGGGAGGGGAGUGAAAUAGAACCUGAAAUCGUGUGCUUACAAGCGGUCAGAGCCCGUAAGGGUGAUGGCGUGCCUUUUGGAGAAUGAUCCUGCGAGUUACGUUUAACGGCAAGGUUAAGUAUACCGGAGCCGUAGGGAAACCGAGUCUUAAUAGGGCGCUAAGUCGUUAGGCGUAGACGCGAAACUUGGUGAUCUAAUCCUGUCCAGGGUGAAGCUGUGGUAAGACACAGUGGAGGCCCGAACUCACCGCCGUUGAAAAGUUGGGAGAUGAGAUAGGUUUAGGGGUGAAACGCCAAUCGAACUGAGAGAUAGCUCGUUCUCUCCGAAAUGCAUUUAGGUGCAGCCUUAAGAAUUAAAUUGCGGGGGUAGAGCACUGAAUAGUCUAGGGGGCAUAUUGCUUACCGAAGCUAACCAAACUCCGAAUACCGUAAUUUUUAAUCUUAGGAGUGAGACUAUGGGUACUAAGAUCCAUGGUCAAAAGGGAAACAACCCAGACCGUCAGCUAAGGUCCCUAAUUAUAGCUAA